rnacentral:misc_RNA from 1 species
AAGGAUCAUUACCGGGUUACCAGGGGCUUCGGCCCCGCUCCCAACCCUUCGCAUCUCCGGCCUUGCUUCGGCGCACAGGGUGCAGAGGAUCCCCCCGUUCGCGGGGGGGCCCUCCGCGCCUGCCGAAUAUUGCCAACUCUGCCUCAAAACUUGAAGUCUGAGCGAAAUGAUUAAUAGCGAAAAACUUUCAACAACGGAUCUCUUGGUUCUG